GCCAGGAACAGUGGUGCAUACCUGUAAUCCCAGCUGCUCUGGAGGCUGAGGCAGGAGGAUCGGGAGUUCAAAGCCAACCUCUGCAAAGUGAGGUGCUGAGCAACUCAGUGAGACCCUGUCUCUA
rnacentral:sRNA from 1 species